rnacentral:rRNA from 1 species
CAGUAGCCGCGGUAAUACGGAGGGUGCGAGCGUUAAUCGGAAUUACUGGGCGUAAAGCGUACGCAGGCGGUUUGUUAAGUCAGAUGUGAAAUCCCCGAGCUUAACUCGGGAACUGCAUUUGAAACUGGCAGGCUAGAGUCUCGUAGAGGGGGGUAGAAUUCCAGGUGUAGCGGUGAAAUGCGUAGAGAUCUGGAGGAAUACCGGUGGCGAAGGCGGCCCCCUGGACGAAGACUGACGCUCAGGUACGAAAGCGUGGGGAGCAAACAGGAUUAGAUACCCCGGUAGUCCCUGUCUCUUAUAC